rnacentral:pre_miRNA from 1 species
GUCACCUGGGGAUCUUGUUAAAAUGCAGAUUCUGAUUCCCAAGUCUGGCUGAGGAUAAUGUUUCUGCAUUUCUAACAAGCUUCCAGGUGAUGCUGG